rnacentral:rRNA from 1 species
AUGGUUGCAGGUGGUGGCACUCAAAAGAGACCUGCUGAUGACAUAAUGCACCAAGAGGAGCCUGCAAACACGGAUGCAAAAAAUGAUCACAUUGCCAUCUAUUUCAUCGACUCACCUCAACAAACAGAAAGAGGGGUUCUGGGUGACAAAACAAAUGGCCAAGAUUACUCCUUCCAGCAACACCUGGAAACACCGAGCUCACCACCCUGCUACUCCACGGACCACAUGCUCGGCGCUGACCAAAGAUACUACAACAGCAACAAUGGCUCCCCUUCUUCUUCUUCUUCUUCUUCUUCUUCGCAGCAGCAGCAGCAUGAACGCUCUUCUCACUCACCAAGAAGAAGGCAGUCCACAAGGCGACGCUUGGCAGCGGCGGUGCCGUUCGUGAGGAAGAUCGACUGGGGGUCCCUCUGGGGCAAGUCCAAGGAGUGGAUCAAGAACCCCAUGAACAUGGCCCUCUUCGUGUGGAUCGUCGCCGUGGGCAUCUCAGGCGCCAUCCUCUUCAUGGUGAUGACCGGGAUGCUCAACGCCGUGCUGCGGACCAAGUCGCAGAAGGACACAUGGUUCGAGGUCAACAACCAGAUCCUCAACGCGCUCUUCACCCUUAUGUGCCUCUACAACCACCCCAGGAGGUUCUACCACCUGGCGCUGCUGUGCCGGUGGAGAGCCACCGACAUGGCCGCGCUCCGGGAGGUCUACUGCAAGGGCGGCACCGUCAAGCCCAACGAGAGGAGGCACAUGAUGGUUGUGGUCUUGCUGCUCCACCUCAACUGCUUGGCGCAGUACGCGCUCUGCGGCCUCAACCUUGGGCUCCCCAGGAGCCGCCGGCCUCCGGUGGGCGUCGGCCUCACCGUGUCAGUCGCCAUCUGCGCGCCCGCGGUCGCCAGCAUGUACAACAACCUCAGCCCCCUGGGGAAAGACUACGAGGUCCAGGCCGCCGAUGACGAGGAGCAGGAGUCUUCUUCUUUGGGCUCGCGGCAGCGGCUCCAGCACAAGACCGUCGAGAGGAGGUACUCCUUCUCCCCCUCUCCGCCGCAGCGACAAGGAGAAAUGGGAGCUGUUGUCAUCGCCGUCGCUGCCGAAGAAGAUGGUAUGUCGCCGGAGUGGUCUGGUGGGCUGGUGGCGGACCUGUGGGAGGACAUCUCGCUGGCGUACCUGUCCCUGUUCUGCAGCUGCUGCGUGUUCGGGUGGAACGCCGGGCGUCUGGGGUUCGGCAACGCGUACGUGCAUGCGGCCACCUUCAUCCUGCUGUGCCUGGCGCCCUUCUUCAUCUUCACCCUGGCAGCCAUCAACAUCGACAACGAGGCGGCCAGGCUGGCGCUCAGCCUCGGCGGCACCCUGCUCUGCGUCCUGGGCCUGCUGUACGGCGGGUUCUGGAGGAUCCAGAUGCGCCGGAGGUUCGGGCUCCCUGGUAACGGCUUUUGCUGCGGCAGGCCUGACGUGACGGACUGCUUCCAGUGGCUGUGCUGCUGCCCCUGCGCCCUCGCCCAGGAGGUCAGAACCGCCGACGCCUACGACAUUGUGCACCACAGGAUGGUGUGUCGCCGCGACAGCCGCCGACCUGGAGACGGCGACGACCAUGAAGAAGAAGGUGCCAGCAGCAGCUCCCGGGUCCAGAUGCAGCAGCCACUGAGGUUUGCAGGUGUUUUUGCUUCAGAUACGAGUACGAGUACAAUACCACCUGCUGUGCCUGUUGGCAUACAGAAACAGUAA